UUUAGUGUAUGUGCGAUUGAGUCUCGAUAUACGAUUAUUUGCAUCAGUCUACAGCUGUGAUCAGUGUGCAAUUUUGAAUGCUAAGUGUACGAUUCCCUGUCAGCGUCUGAUUGUGAAUCUGCAUUUUUCUAUUCAGUGUACUAUAUCCAUCUCGAUCUGUGUUCAGAUCUGUGUAUUAGUACAGUUGAAUUGCACAUCAUAGCUUUCUGAUCUGUGUACGGUUUCGGAUCAUAAAAUUUUACUUGGUUGUAAGAUUUUGGAUCAGUGUACCAUUUCGGAUCAGAAAAUGUAUAGCACUAAAUUUCGCACGCUCAGGCCCCUGACGUGUGUCAGUCCUGAUCUGACCGCACCACCUCUGACUGCUGCAGACAGGCCAAGACUGCAGCCACAACCACCACCGAAAAGGAGCCCGAAAGGCAUUGCGACGAUGACGGUAAGAAUCUUAUCAAUGUGUUUAUUCAACCAUAAUUCGUCAGUAUUAAUAUUAAGCCUGCAUUCAUAUGUUGAACUAAGUAUUGAGGUGUUUUCUUAUUAUUUAUCCUCAACAGGAGCUCACGCGCCAGAACAGUAUUCGUGUCUCCAGCCGUCCGCAGUCUGUCCAGCUUCCUCCUAUCUUUGGCACUUCCUAUGUUAGAGGACUGUGUCCAAAUCCACCUGCUCAGGAAAAGACGACGCCUUCAGUUCAAUGCCAUCAAUCAUUUGACAAGGCCAGACUGCAGAGAAACCUUGCAGAGAAGGUAUCUGAGCAGAACAUUGAGCAUCAAGUAGCCAAAGGCCGCAGAUACGACUUCAUAGAGGCUCGGAGGACAGAAGUGCGUCGCCGUCAUGGGCGUGAAAAGGUGGAAAUGGAGGAAGCUCUCACUCUACAGAGAGCCAAGCUGGAACAGGACGUCCAUCAUGUGCAUCAGAAACAUAACCAGUUUCUGGAAGAGAAGAGGAGGAGGAUCCAGGAGCAAGAGAUGGUUUGCCGUUUCAACCAACACCACAACGCUCGAGCGAGGGCUGUACACCGAUACAAUGACUGGAAACAAGGAAAAGGAGUCGAGUAAAAUCGCUCCAGUACGCUCAAGUUGAACGACCCCCUCAAGCAGUUGGAAAUGGUGAAAAAUGAAUGAAAACGGGCUCCUCAUCAUGGCGGACGGCAGCAGGCUCCGGCCUCAGGCUCCUCCACUCGCUCACGGACGACAGCCGCCCCUCCACAACCCAGGUGGCUGGCAACGAGUUCGUCCGUUCCCCUGGCGAGUUACUCCAGCCCACCGCCGCGAGCAUCCACUGCAGCAGACUCUGCUCAGAUGCGCUCGCUGGCACAGCAGAUUUCCCACAGUUGUGUUCCUCCUUUCUUCUGUUUAAAGUUUAAAGUUCACAGAAGAAGGAGGCGGGAAACCAGCGAACGUUCAACAUAAUGCUUUAAUCAUAAAAUCCAAGCCUGGUCCUCCCUCAUAAAAGGCCAAAUGAACCAGAUAAAAUGCUCUUGCAAAUAAUAUUGGUCAAGACCGAGCAUGAGCUGAUUGCCUUAAGCUUUAUAAGUGGUGGGGCUAGUAAACUAAACCAAUGGCUUGGAUUGAGAAGGGCAUUUACAUAUAUACAACUGUAUCUAGCCAUCCAAAACAUGUAUAAAAAUACAUUUUUACAUUUAUU